rnacentral:rRNA from 1 species
UACAGAGGUGGCAAGCGUUGUUCGGAAUUACUGGGCGUAAAGGGCGCGUAGGCGGUUCGUUAAGUCCUGUGUGAAAUCCCCCGGCUCAACUGGGGAACUGCACAGGAAACUAGCGGGCUUGAGUUCGGGAGAGGGAAGCGGAAUUCCGGGUGUAGCGGUGAAAUGCGUAGAUAUCCGGAGGAACACCGGUGGCGAAAGCGCUUGUCUGGCCCAAUACUGACGCUGAGGCGCGAAAGCUAGGGGAGCAAACGGG